rnacentral:ncRNA from 2 species
GCUAAAGUACCGCCGUCUGGAGCAGGGAACCCCGUGAGAAUCGGGGACUGACGCGCAGCGGUAACGCAGACGGGCGAGUAGCAAGCCACUGGGAACACCCCGGGAAGGCGCUCGUUCGGAUGAUGCCAAGUCCGAAAACCUCCCGGACCACACUUACCCGA